UGGGGGAUUUUGCACAAUGGGCGCAAGCCUGAUGCAGCGACGCCGCGUGAGGGAUGAAGGCCUUCGGGUUGUAAACCUCUUUCGCUGGGUUGAAAGGCCAUGCUUUGGGUGUGGUUGAUUUGAACUGGUAAAGAAGUACCGGCUAACUACGUGCCAGCAGCCGCGGUAAUACGUAGGGUACUAGCGUUGUCCGGAAUUAUUGGGCGUAAAGGGCUUGUAGGUGGCUGGUUGCGUCUGUCGUGAAAGCUCAUGGCUUAACUGUGGGUUUGCGGUGGGUACGGGCUGGCUUGAGUGCAGUAGGGGAGGCUGGAAUUCCUGGUGUAGCGGUGGAAUGCGCAGAUAUCAGGAGGAAUACCGGUGGCGAAGGCGGGUCUCUGGGCUGUUACUGACGCUGAGGAGCGAAAGCGUGGGGAGCGAACAGG
rnacentral:rRNA from 1 species